UACGAAGGGGGCUAGCGUUGUUCGGAAUCACUGGGCGUAAAGCGCACGUAGGCUGACUGGUCAGUUGGGGGUGAAAUCCCGGGGCUCAACCUCGGAACUGCCUUCAAUACUGCCAGUCUUGAGUCCGAGAGAGGUGAGUGGAAUUCCUAGUGUAGAGGUGAAAUUCGUAGAUAUUAGGAAGAACACCAGUGGCGAAGGCGGCUCACUGGCUCGGUACUGACGCUGAGGUGCGAAAGCGUGGGGAGCAAACAGG
rnacentral:rRNA from 1 species